GACAGAGGGUGCAAACGUUGUUCGGAUUUACUGGGCGUAAAGCGCGUGUAGGCGGCUUUGCAAGUCGGGUGUGAAAGCCCUCAGCUCAACUGAGGAAGUGCGCCCGAAACUGCAGAGCUUGAGUGCCGGAGAGGGUGGCGGAAUUCCCCAAGUAGAGGUGAAAUGCGUAGAGAUGGGGGAGAACACUCGUGGCGAAGGCGGCCAGCCUAGACCAGUUCGUGACACUGAGGCGCGGACAGCGUGGGGAGCAAACAGG
rnacentral:rRNA from 1 species